AUUGAACGCUGGCGGCAUGCCUUACACAUGCAAGUCGAACGGUAACAGGUCUUCGGAUGCUGACGAGUGGCGAACGGGUGAGUAAUACAUCGGAACGUGCCCGAUCGUGGGGGAUAACGAGGCGAAAGCUUUGCUAAUACCGCAUACGAUCUACGGAUGAAAGCGGGGGAUCUUCGGACCUCGCGCGGACGGAGCGGCCGAUGGCAGAUUAUGUAGUUGGUGGGAUAAAAGCUUACCAAGCCGACGAUCUGUAGCUGGUCUGAGAGGAUGAUCAGCCACACUGGGACUGAGACACGGCCCAGACUCCUACGGGAGGCAGCAGUGGGGAAUUUUGGACAAUGGGCGAAAGCCUGAUCCAGCCAUGCCGCGUGCAGGAUGAAGGCCUUCGGGUUGUAAACUGCUUUUGUACGGAACGAAAAGCCUCUUUCUAAUAAAGAGGGGUCAUGACGGUACCGUAAGAAUAAGCACCGGCUAACUACGUG
rnacentral:rRNA from 1 species